CUAAGGUUAUUUGUUUUGGCUUAUUUUAGUAAGCCUCUUUUCAAACUUUAAGAAAGAUUUACCUGAAAAUGGCUAAAUAUAUUAAUGAGUAAAGGAAAACGGUAGAGAGAAGACUUAUAAAGUCCAGAUUGUGGUCACACGUCUUCUACUAAACGUUAUGUAUGAGUAAAUGACUCACAGAAAAAUAAACGUUUAUCAGCAAUUUCAAGGACUACUGAUCUGAGUGUUCAUCCCACUCAUGCAUUACAUUUGGCAUAAAGGCUCGCAAG
rnacentral:lncRNA from 1 species